rnacentral:tRNA from 1 species
CUUGUCCUAGUUUACAAAGAAUUGUGGUUUUGGGGACCGUAGGUUUCGUUUUAGUCGGAGGGCUUGG